AGGAUGUUGGAUGGAGCCCACAAGGAGCAGUUGAGCUAUUUCAUAUUUGUUUUGAUCAUCUUGGGAGCUUGCGACUUCCAUGUCUUCAUUUAGAACGCGUUCCAAUGUUAACCGGACUCUCUGGAGGCCAUGCUCCAGGAGUGUUUCGUGGCUGAUGGCUGUAUUUAUCUGGGUGUGUUGUAGUUGCGGCUGCUGUGGUUGCGUCAGCGAUUGCAGGUUUCCUGUCCCCUGAGGUGAUGUCGUUAGCUGCUGUUGUGGCGUUACUGAUGCCUGUUGAGUCUGCAUUGGCAGAGUAUGCUGUGUUUGAUGAUUCUGCUGCCUCUCGUCCACAUAGUCUGGUAGGAUUAAUCGCUGGAUUGUUGGGGGUUGGCCUUGGAUGUUAGCCACUAGCUCUUCACGUGUAUUUGCUGGAGUUGGUGCCUGGCCUGGAUGACAGUCGUCGUUAGCUGAGUUUGUUGGAGUUGCGGCUGCUGUAGCUGCGGUUGCAACUGCGGAUUCACUGACUCCUGAGUUGGCGUAGUUAGCUGCUGUUGUUGCUGCGU